rnacentral:lncRNA from 1 species
GAAAAUUUGGACUGGCUUUUGGAAACCCUUAAAAAGAGAAAAUUGAGAAAUAAGAACAAAAUGUGAGGUUAUUUUUGCAUAUGAAGUCAGUCUGAAGAGUUCUUGAGAACAAAGAAAAUAUUGUUUCAUAGCCUUCAAUUUCCUGAGUUUGUUUCCAACCUUCAACUGGAACUUCAGUUCCUACAUUUCCUUAAAGAAGAAGCAUGAUUUGUUUCUGUUUCAUUCGAGUUUGGUUUGUGGUUGCUGGAUUCACUUUUGAGCAUCUUGGUACUGUUGUUGGGUUAUUUUGGGAUCUUAUUUGGUUUUGAAACCAUUCCACUUUUGAGCAUCUUGGAUUUGUUUCUGUUUCAUUCGAGUUUGGUUUGUGGUUGCUGGAUUCACUUUUGAGCAUCUUGGUACUGUUGUUGGGUUAUUUUGGGAUCUUAUUUGGUUUUGAAACCAUUCCGAAAUUUGGUUUGGUUUUUCUCUACUGCUGGAACUUUUUCGCUGAUUCCGCUCGAUCCAAAGUGUUUUUAGGCCAUAUUUUGAUUUCCUGGGCUUUGUUGUGUUGCUGUGUCCUGGUGCUGUUAUUGCUGCUGUCGCUAAUCUCUCUUCUUCUUCUAUUUCACAUUCCAAGUACACAUUCUGAUAAUGUGUAUUGAAGUUAUGAAG